CUCUAACCCUGCAAGACUCUUGGAAUUGGUGGUCUAUGCAUGAUUUGGCUGCUUAAAUUGUGCACUGAAAUGCACGAGUCCUGCAAUCGAACCUUCCUCCCCACUCCCUCCCACCGACCUCCUCAGGAAACACAUACUUCCUGCCUCCGGCCCCACCUCGCCCCCCAGCAGUCAAGACGCAGAGGAGAGGAGAUGGGAGAGUAAAAGGCUACGUGUCACGUGACCUCGUUAAGCAUGCAAACGCUUACGUCGGUCUGUAAAGUGGGUCCGAAUUAUCUUGUGUGAGCGUCAAGGAAACUUCAACCCAUGUGAAACCCAGUUUUCUACACACACAUAAUCAACUGUAGAAAGACAGCGACAAUGACCACGCUGAAGUAAAACGAGAAUAGAGAGAGGGGAGAGAAGGGAAAAUAUAAACUGAAUCUUUUUUUAAUCUGCUGGAAUAGUUUUGAUAAAAACAUAUAUUGGUUUCUGCACAAAAAGCCUAAAGUGUAUGUUAAUUAUGAUGUACUUAUAGAACUGAGCAACAGAAGACAGUUA